rnacentral:rRNA from 1 species
GAUGAACGCUAGCGGCAGGCCUAACACAUGCAAGUCGAGGGGUAGAACACUUCGGUGUUUGAGACCGGCGCACGGGUGCGUAACGCGUAUGCAAUCUACCUUGUACAGGGGAAUAGCCCAGAGAAAUUUGGAUUAAUGCCCCAUAGUAUAUAACCUUCGCAUGUUGGUUAUAUUAAAGUUCCAACGGUACAAGAUGAGCAUGCGUCCCAUUAGUUAGUUGGUAAGGUAACGGCUUACCAAGACGAUGAUGGGUAGGGGUCCUGAGAGGGAGAUCCCCCACACUGGUACUGAGACACGGACCAGACUCCUACGGGAGGCAGCAGUGAGGAAUAUUGGUCAAUGGGCGCAAGCCUGAACCAGCCAUGCCGCGUGCAGGAAGACGGUCCUAUGGAUUGUAAACUGCUUUUAUACAGGAAGAAACGACCCUUGCGAGGGGCAUUGACGGUACUGUAUGAAUAAGCACCGGCUAACUUCGUGCCAGCCGCCGCGGUAACAC